GCCUUCGUGGUGUAACGGUAGCACACUCGGUGCAUAUUCAAGAAGUCCAGGGUUCGAGUCCCAGCGUGGGCA
rnacentral:tRNA from 1 species